rnacentral:lncRNA from 1 species
UGCCACCAUAUAUCUUUCCCUCUCCCUCUCCCUCUCCCUCUUUUCUCUUCCCCCUCUCUCUCCAGCUUUCUGCCUGUCUCUCUCCUUAUGUGUGUCUCUCACAUGUCAAAUUUCGUAAACCGGCUCGGCUGAACGAAUAUUGUUUUGCUGUACAUUAUAUACCGACCAACACACCUACCCAACAUUAUCUAUCUAUCUAUCUAUCUAUCUAUCUAUCUAUCUAUCUAUCUAUCUAUCUUCACUGCCUUAUACUGUACUAAACUAUAACACUUCAAUAUUGACAGCAAACAAGUACAACACAAAACCUUUUGGGUCUUGUUUCGAAUAACAUGCACUGAUAUCAAAUAUUCCAUACAGCACCUUAAUUUCCAUAUACUUAAAAACAAUACAGAGAAUAUCUAUAAGCUAAACACCACACCUAACUGACAUUAGAGAACAAAAUAUAAAUACACAAAUAGACCACAAGUUGUUCAUAACAAAUCAAUUUAUGAUAAAAGGACAAAACGAGAACUAUAUAAUAACGAAUGCAAAGACAAAUAUCAGAUAAAAUAUACGUAAAAAUUAACAUAAAAGUGGAAAACCAAUUUUAAAGGAAAUUUGUUAAGCUCAACUUCGUAGUUAUAAUAAAAGACCAAACAGAUAAUUAUAAUAAUAGAUACUAGAUAAGAAAAGGCAAAACAAAUCAUUGUAAUAAUAAUAAUAGUAAAUAUUGUAUAUAUACAUAUAUAAAUAAAUAAAUAUAUAUAUAUUAUACAAUCAUCGUUAAGAAAGCAUAAGACAACAUAAAUAUAAACAGAGAACGUACAGUCAUUGUCAAGUAUAAGGAAGUGUAGGAAGGGCAGAUAAAAAAGACAGGAAGAAAAGAAAGAAGGAAGGAAAGAAAGAAGGCAAGGCGGAAGAAGCAGAGUUACGUACAGAGACUGGAAGACACGAACUUGAGUGACAAAGUGCUUAUACAACAUUGCUGAUGGCUUCAUCUAAGGUAAAUA